UACAGAGGGUGCAAGCGUUGUUCGGAAUUAUUGGGCGUAAAGGGCGCGUAGGCGGUGCGGUAAGUCUGUAGUGAAAUCUCUGGGCUCAACUCAGAGUCUGCUAUAGAAACUGCCGUGCUUGAGUGUGGGAGAGGUGAGUGGAAUUCCCGGUGUAGCGGUGAAAUUCGUAGAUAUCGGGAGGAACACCGGUGGCGAAGGCGGUGAUCUGGGUCGAUACUGACGCUGAGGUGCGAAAGCGUGGGGAGCAAACAGG
rnacentral:rRNA from 1 species